GUGAUUCCACCUCGGUGAGGGAGGAGCCUGAGUACACAGUGUCUGUUAGGCUCCUCCCUCACUGAGGUGGAAUCACUAACAGACACUGUGUACUCAGGCUCCUCCCUCACUGAGGUGGAAUCACUGAGUACACAGUGUCUGUUAGUGAUUCCACCUCAGUGAGGGAGGAGCCUGAGUACACAGUGACUGUUAGUGAUUCCACCUCAGUGAGGGAGGAGCCUGAGUACACAGUGACUGUUAGUGAUUCCACCUCAGUGAGGGAGGAGCCCGAGUACACAGUGACUGUUAGUGUGUUCAAUCCCUGGGUCGCGAGUUCAAUCCCGGAGUCGUGUGUUCAAUCCCGGAGUCGUGUGUUCAAUCCCUGGGUCGCGUGUUCAAUCCCUGGGUCGCGUGUUCAAUCCCUGGGUCGCGUGUUCAAUCCCAGGGUCGCGUGUUCAAUCCCGGAGUCGCGUGUUGAAUCCCUGGGUCGCGUGUUGAAUCCCUGGGUCGUGUGUUGAAUCCCAGAGUCGCGUGUUCAAUCCCGGAGUCGCGUGUUGAAUCCCGGAGUCGCGUGUUCAAUCCCAGAGUCGCGUGUUCAAUCCCAGAGUCGCGUGUUCAAUCCCAGAGUCGCGUGUUCAAUCCCAGAGUCACGUGUUCAAUCCCUGGGUCGCGAGUUCAAUCCCUGGGUCGCGUGUUCAAUCCCGGAGUCGCGUGUUCAAUCCCGGAGUCACGUGUUCAAUCCCGGAGUCGCGUGUUCAAUCCCGGAGUCGCGUGUUCAAUCCCGGGGUCGCUUGUUGAAUCCCUGGGUCGCGUGUUGAAUCCCAGAGUCGCGUGUUCAAUCCCAGAGUCGCGUGUUCAAUCCCGGAGUCGCGUGUUCAAUCCCGGGGUCGCGUGUUCAAUCCCGGGUCGCGUGUUCAAUCCCGGGGUCGCGUGUUCAAUCCCGGGGUCGCGUGUUCAAUCCCAGGGUCGCGUGUUCUAUCCUAGAGUUGCGUAUUCAAUUGUUUAAUCCCAAACCUUAACCAUUCUGAAUUAAUGCCUAAAAUGAACCUUCAAAAUGUGACCUUUUUUGGACAAAUGUCAUAUUCUGCACUGUAAGAGCUUGUUGCCCUUGUAUGGCCUUAAUUGCUAAUCAGACCACAUUCUGAGACAAGGAGACACACAACAACAGUCAGGUCAUGAAUAUUCAUGUAUUUAUUAAUGCCCUGUCAUCUGGUCCAGAGGAGCGUUUUAAUGUGUCUGUCUGUGUUCCAUAUUACUGUAGUUCUUCUAUUCAUGACAGCUUCUGUCUGUGUGUGUGUGUGUGUGUGUGUGUGUGUGUGUGUGUGUGUGUGUUGUGCGUUACUCUACUCCCCUCCUCCUAUACCUCUCUAUGACAGCUCCUGUGUGUGUGUGUGUGUUGUGCGUUACUGUAC
ensembl:lncRNA